rnacentral:rRNA from 1 species
AGGGCGACUGAAACGGGAAGAGCCCAGCGCAUAACCUGGCGGUCGGCCGCGGCCGUCCAGGGGUGUUGCGUUCCGGUGCGUGCUUGCCGCCCGAGUUGCUCACCGCCUAAGUCAUUGCUUGAAAGCAGCCCCGAGGAGGGUGAUAGGCCCGUGUGGCGGCGCCUGUAAAAAGGGUGAAGGCGGCUCGGGCGGGCGGACGUCCACCGUAGAGUCGGGUUGCUUAGUACUGCAGCCCUAAGCAGGUGGUAAACUCCAUCUAAGGCUAAAUACUACCACGAGUCCGAUAGAGAACAAGUACCGUGAGGGAAAGCUGAAAAGGACUUUGAAGAGAGAGUUCAAUAGGACGUGAAACCGUUAGAAGCUUAAACGGGUGGAACCGCGAAGGUUGAACGAGGGGAUUCAGCUCGCCGGUGCCCGGAGUGCGGAUGGCGGGUCAGACAUGUUUUGACGACGGGACCCGGCGCGAGAGUGCUGCCGGGCCCCGCCGCCGCCUCCGGGCCUUCGGGCGGGCUUACUUCUCCCUCGGGAGGUCGCCGCGACCCGUUGUCGGGGGCCCCAGGGCCGUGUCGCAUUGGUAGCCCGGGCCUGCAAGGGCCCGGGUGACGAGUGGCUGCGGUUCCGUCGGCCGCCGGCGGCGGUGUUGCAGGGGGGCCGCGUUGAGCGGCCCCUCGCGGCGUGCAAGGGAUCGGACAUCCACCCGACCCGUCUUGAAACACGGACCAAGGAGUCCAACAUGUGCGCGAGCCUAAGGGUGAGCUAAACCCGGAGGCGAAAUGAAAGUGAGCCGUUGCUCGGCAGGCCGAUCCCUGGCCGCGCCGGCCGGCGGGGCGGGGCGUUUGGUGAGCCAGUCUCCCGUGCGCCGCAUUCCCCCCGUCGCGCCCGGCGCGGUGCGGGGGGCCGUCCGUCCCCCGGGGCGGGCGGUCCCCUCUGGGCGCAGGCCGAGGACUUGCCGCCAGGCGGCCCGGGCAACGGGGCCUCGGCCCUUAUCCCGGUGCCCGCCGGCAAGUACCUAGGAGUGCACACGUUGGGACCCGAAAGAUGGUGAACUAUGCCUGGCGAGGAUGAAGCCAGAGGAAACUCUGGUGGAGGUCCGAAGCAGUUCUGACGUGCAAAUCGAUUGUCAGAGCUGGGUAUAGGGGCGAAAGACUAAUCGAACCAUCUAGUAGCUGGUUCCCUCCGAAGUUUCCCUCAGGAUAGCUGGCAUUCAGAAGGGAUGAGUUUCAUCCGGUAAAGCGAAUGAUUAGAGGCCUUGGGGGUGCAAUGCCCUCAACCUAUUCUCAAACUUUAAAUGGGUGAGAUGUGGAGCUUGCUUGAUGAAUGAAGCUCUUUAAUUAUUGAAGAAUCANAGUGCCCAGUGGGCCAUUUUUGGUAAGCAGAACUGGCGCUGUGGGAUGAACCAAACGCACGAGUUAAGGGGCCUAAGUGAAUGCUAAUAUAGACACUAAGAAAAGGUGUUGGUUGCUAUAGACAGCAGGGCGGUGGCCAUGGAAGUUGGAAUCCGCUAAGGAGUGUGUAACAACUCACCUGCCGAAGCAACUAGCCCUUAAAAUGGUAUGGCGCUCAAGCAUUCUCCCGAUACUCGGCCGCCGGGACCAACGAACCAAACUAAACAACUCGACCCCAAGGCCCGGCGAGUAGGAGGGUCGCAGCGGUGAGCGCAGAAGGGAUCCGGCGCGAGCCGGCCUGGAGCCGCCGCUGGUGCAGAUCUUGGUGGUAGUAGCAAAUAAUCAAGAGAGAGCCUCGUUGACUGAUGUGGAGAAGGGUUCCAUGUCAACAUCAGUUGAACAUGGGUGAGUCAGGCCUAAGCCCAAGGAUAAACUUCCUGUUUCCCAUGUGUUCCGAAAGCAGCCACACUAGAGAAGCAGCCAUGCAUGCUCCAAUAAAAGAGUACGAAUACGAACCCAAUGAAUGAUACACGAGCACGGAAGGGAGGCAGUGGCGAAAGGGAACACGGUAAUGAUUCCGUGACCCGUGUUCGGACUGGCCCGGCCCUCUCCCUGACGGGAGGGGCCGGGUCAAAUGUGUGACGAGCCCUGGUAACAGGAUCUGGCUUGCGUCCACUGGCGUCUGGUCCGGGGGAGAGUUUUCUUUUCUGUUUUAGGCCCCGUGAUCCCUGGAAAUCAUAUGAAGCGAGAAGGGGAUGAUGGUAAGACAAACCGCACGGUGGCCGUAGAGCGACACAGUUCUUGUGUCGUCCCGUGCACCAACGCCAGUCCGUGAAAGAUGUAAGUGAGGAAGUCACACGGGUCGCUGGCCGGGGCGGCUGGCUCUGCUGCCGGGGUGGCCCCUGAGCCUGCCUUCGGGCGGGCGAGGGGAGUCUCCCCCGGGGGCGGCCGCGCUCCGGAGACCCUGU